rnacentral:sRNA from 1 species
GCCGGACUCAGUGGCGCAUGCCUGUAAUCCCAGCAGCUCGGGAGGCUGAGGCAGGAGGAUCACAAGUUCAAAGCCAGUCUCAGCCAAAGUGAGGAGCUAAGCAAUUCAGGGAGACCCUGUCUCUA